GUGGGUAGUUUGACUGGGGCGGUCUCCUCCCAAAGCGUAACGGAGGAGCACGAAGGUUAGCUAAUCCUGGUCGGACAUCAGGAGGUUAGUGCAAUGGCAUAAGCUAGCUUGACUGCGAGCGUGACGGCGCGAGCAGGUGCGAAAGCAGGUCAUAGUGAUCCGGUGGUUCUGAAUGGAAGGGCCAUCGCUCAACGGAUAAAAGGUACUCCGGGGAUAACAGGCUGAUACCGCCCAAGAGUUCAUAUCGACGGCGGUGUUUGGCACCUCGAUGUCGGCUCAUCACAUCCUGGGGCUGAAGUAGGUCCCAAGGGUAUGGCUGUUCGCCAUUUAAAGUGGUACGCGAGCUGGGUUUAGAACGUCGUGAGACAGUUCGGUCCCUAUCUGCCGUGGGCGCUGGAGAAUUGAGGGGGGCUGCUCCUAGUACGAGAGGACCGGAGUGGACGCAUCACUGGUGUUCGGGUUGUCAUGCCAAUGGCACUGCCCGGUAGCUAAAUGCGGAAGAGAUAAGUGCUGAAAGCAUCUAAGCACGAAACUUGCCCCGAGAUGAGUU
rnacentral:rRNA from 1 species